AGUGAACGCUGGCGGUAGGCCUAACACAUGCAAGUCGAACGGCAGCACAGUAAUAGCUCUCCCUUACUUUUGGCGAGUGGCGGAUGGGUUAGGCUUACAUCGGAAUCUACUUUUACGUUGGGGAUAUCGUGUGGCAACUUCCGCUAAUACCUCAUACUACCUACGGGUGAAAUCAAGGGGUCUUCGGACCUUGCCCGUUUCAAUGAGCCGAUGUCGAAUUAGCUAGUUGGCGGGGUAAAGGCCCACCAAGGCGACGAGCCGUAGCUGAUCUGAGAGGAUGAUGAGCCACACUGGAAGGGAGAAAGGGACAAAACUACUAGGGGAGGCAGCAGUGGGGAAAAUUGGAAAAUGGGGGAAAGCCGGAUGAGGACAGACCGGGUAGGGGAAGAGGGCUUUGGGGUUGUAAAGCCCUUUUGUUGGGAAGGAAAAGCAGGAGGUUAAUACCCCGCUGUUCUGACGGUACCCAAAGAAUAAGCACCGGCAAACUUCGU
rnacentral:rRNA from 1 species